GAUGAACGCUGGCGGCGUGCCUAAUACAUGCAAGUCGAGCGAACAGAUGAGAAGCUUUCUCCUCUGACGUUAGCGGCGGACGGGUGAGUAACACGUGGAUCACCUACCUAUAAGACUGGGAUAACUUCGGGAAACCGGAGCUAAUACCGGAUAAUAUAUUGAACCGCAUGGUUCAAUAGUUAAAGACGGUUUUGCUGUCUCUUAUAGAUGGAUCCGCGCCGCAUUAGCUAGUUGGUAAGGUAACGGCUUACCAAGGCGACGAUGCGUAGCCGACCUGAGAGGAUGAUCGGCCACACUGGAACUGAGACACGGUCCAGACUCCUACGGGAGGCAGCAGUAGGGAAUCUUCCGCAAUGGGCGAAAGCCUGACGGAGCAACGCCGCGUGAGUGAAGAAGGUCUUCGGAUCGUAAAACUCUGUUAUUAGGGAAGAACAAAUGUGGAAGUAAAUAUGCACGUCUUGACGGUACCUAAUCAGAAAGCCACGGCUAACUACGUG
rnacentral:rRNA from 1 species